UGCCAGCAGCCGCGGUAAUACGGAGGGCGCAAGCGUUACUCGGAAUCACUGGGCGUAAGGAGCGUGUAGGCGGGUUAAUAAGUUUGAAGUGAAAUCCAAUGGUUCAACCAUUGAGCUGCUUUGAAAGCUGUUAACCUAGAAUAUGGGAGAGGUAGAUGGAAUUUCUGGUGUAGGGGUAAAAUCCGUAGAGAUCAGAAGGAAUACCGAUUGCGAAGGUGAUCUACUGGAACAUUAUUGACGCUGAGACGCGAAAGCGUGGGGAGCAAACAGGAUUAGAUA
rnacentral:rRNA from 1 species